GUCCAGACUCCUACGGGAGGCAGCAGUGAGGAAUAUUGGUCAAUGGGCGGGAGCCUGAACCAGCCAAGUCGCGUGAGGGAAGACGGUCCUACGGAUUGUAAACCUCUUUUGCCGGGGAGCAACGGGGUCCUUGCGAGGGCCCAAUGAGAGUACCCGGAGAAAAAGCAUCGGCUAACUCCGUGCCAGCAGCCGCGGUAAUACGUAGGGGGCAAGCGUUAUCCGGAAUUAUUGGGCGUAAAGAGUACGUAGGUGGCAACCUAAGCGCAGGGUUUAAGGCAAUGGCUCAACCAUUGUUCGCCCUGCGAACUGGGAUGCUUGAGUGCAGGAGAGGAAAGCGGAAUUCCUAGUGUAGCGGUGAAAUGCGUAGAUAUUAGGAGGAACACCAGUGGCGAAGGCGGCUUUCUGGACUGUAACUGACACUGAGGUACGAAAGCGUGGGGAGCAAACAGGAUUAGAUACCCGUGUA
rnacentral:rRNA from 1 species